AAAUAAAUCACUCAAUAUAACAACAAUAAUAAUAACAAUGCUUCAGGCAGGGUGAAAUUCACUCUAUCAAAGAGUAAUUACACAAUGCAUUCAAUUGAGGGUUAGAGCAAACGAAAACAUGCUUGACACGUAUAGUCUACCAAAGUAGCAUAAUAAUACACGCGGUUCUAUUGCAAACAAUUCAAGAGACAAGAGCUUAUCAUUACAAACGAAAAUGGAGAAGAUAAAAAGAGCUCCACUUCAAAGCAAACACGUCGUACAAAAGUUAGCGCCUUGCAGUAAACAAUUCCCAAGGCACAAUAGGAACAGCAAAAUACAAUACACCAACCAGACCUUAGUUGUUAUGAUAGUUUUAUGCUUGCUAUGUUUAACACGUGUUCUUCACUACAUGAGACUUAAUUGGUCUGAGAAGGAUCAAGCACAUGACCAAUGAACAGCACCAUUCCAGUCAUGUCUUCUCUGAUCAAGAACAAGAAUGGAUGGUCAGCUACAAAGUUCAGUUUAUCAGAGAGCAUCAGACAUUUCAAUCUUACAACACCAGCAGAACUUGCUGCAGCUUCUGUGCCUUCUUCAUUUACUUCGAUGAAGGAUUUAUGGAAUAUGCUUGAAACAUACAGGUUCUGACCAACGGAGGAAUCCACCAUUUCUGUCAAAUCUCCUUCACCGGAGAAUGGCAACACCAGUCCUAAUCCCUUAAGGGUUUUGGAAACUUCAAAUCCAAAGGAAAUCUUAAACCUAGGAAUCCUGAAGUCAUCCACUUCCACUUGUUGCUGUGGAAGGUGAUAUUCUAAAAACCCAGACUCAGAACCCACUUUCUCCACCAAAGCAGGCAGCCCAUCUUUUGCAUCUGGAAGGAAGAAGUACAUGAAGGAUCGGCGUUCGUCUUCACCUUGUUCGUAAGGAAACCUUAGGACUUUAAAACCAUCAAAGGCACGGAUAAAUUGAUUCUUAUUGCCAGUCAUAAAGGGCACAUGAACCGAGCUACCAUUCAAAAGGUAAAAAUCAUAGUCUUUUGUAGUUGAUGCAUUAAAUUUUUCAUUCCAAGCUCCUUUGAAGUAAAGUGCAUUUGCAAAUAUAAGCCUGGUCGUACUGUCAACCGACCCAGAAGGAAGAACCUCUUUGAUAAGGCCACUAGUCUCCCUCUCCGCCCAUGCAUUUACCUCAUUAGUCACUUCAACAGCCUUGGUUUGGAAAUCAACUUGAUUAGAAGCAGCCAGAUAGACAUUUUCCACAACCUGUUUGAAAGAGGGCUUAAGUAAGAGAGACCUGUCCACCCAAACGCCGUUGGCGAAUGACAAGCGUGGACCACCGCUGGCACUUCCGUCCACAAAAACCACAGAAACGAGUUCGGAGAAGAAAGAGCUGAGGUGGUCAUUGGACUUGGAGUUGAGGAAAGAAAGCAAUUGAUGGAGGGUAGGACCCUUAGAUCCAGCAGCAAUGAGGCCAAGCACCACCUGGAUAGACAGCGGCGACAACACUGAAUUAGAGGUUUUGGCUUCGGUUAAGAGCACAUGCUUGGAAAGGCCCAAAGUGACGGCGUUUUGAUUCCCGAUCGAUUCACGGAGGUCCAUGUUUGUGGUAUUGCGGAGGGGAAGCAGUGAAGGGUGUUAACUAUGUGCCUAGAAAUGCAACGGCUGCUUUUAAUAUUUGACUAAAGUGGAAGAACCGACAAUAGAUU
rnacentral:misc_RNA from 1 species